ACGGGAGGCAGCAGUGGGGAAUAUUGCACAAUGGGCGAAAGCCUGAUGCAGCGACGCCGCGUGAGCGAAGAAGUAUUUCGGUAUGUAAAGCUCUAUCAGCAGGGAAGAUAAUGACAGUACCUGACUAAGAAGCACCGGCUAAAUACGUGCCAGCAGCCGCGGUAAUACGUAUGGUGCAAGCGUUAUCCGGAUUUACUGGGUGUAAAGGGCGUGUAGGCGGUUUGGCAAGUCAGAAGUGAAAUUCCCGGGCUUAACUUGGGCGCUGCUUCCGAAACUGCUUAACUUGAGUACUGGAGAGGAUAGUGGAAUUCCUAGUGUAGCGGUAAAAUGCACAGAUAUUAGGAGGAACACCGGUGGCGAAGGCGGCUAUCUGGACAGUAACUGACGCUGAGGCGCGAAAGCACGGGGAGCAAACAGGAUUAGAUACCCUGGUA
rnacentral:rRNA from 1 species